AUCAGUAGCCGACCUGAGAGGGUGACCGGCCACAUUGGGACUGAGACACGGCCCAAACUCCUACGGGAGGCAGCAGUGGGGAAUAUUGCACAAUGGGGGAAACCCUGAUGCAGCAACGCCGCGUGAAGGAAGACGGUUUUCGGAUUGUAAACUUCUAUCAAUAGGGAAGAAAGAGAUGACGGUACCUAAAUAAGAAGCCCCGGCUAACUACGUGCCAGCAGCCGCGGUAAUACGUAGGGGGCAAGCGUUAUCCGGAAUUACUGGGUGUAAAGGGAGAGUAGGCGGCAUGGUAAGCAAUAUGUGAAAGCCUCGGGCUUAACCUGAGGAUUGCAUAAUGAACUAUCAAGCUAGAGUACAGGAGAGGAAAGCGGAAUUCCUAGUGUAGCGGUGAAAUGCGUAGAUAUUAGGAAGAACACCAGUGGCGAAGGCGGCUUUCUGGACUGAAACUGACGCUGAGGCUCGAAAGCGUGGGGAGCGAACAGGAUUAGAUACCCUGGUAGUCCACGCCGUAAACGAUGAGUGCUAGGUGUCGGGGAGGA
rnacentral:rRNA from 1 species